ACGAACGCUGGCGGCAUGCCUAACCCCUGCAAGUCGCACGAGACCUUCGGGUCUAGUGGCGCACGGGUGCGUAACGCGUGGGAACCUGCCCUUAGGUUCGGAAUAACUCCCCGAAAGGGGUGCUAAUACCGGAUAAUGUCUUCGGACCAAAGAUUUAUCGCCUUUGGAUGGGCCCGCGUUGGAUUAGCUAGUUGGUAGGGUAAAAGCCUACCAAGGCGACGAUCCAUAGCUGGUCUGAGAGGAUGAUCAGCCACACUGGGACUGAGACACGGCCCAGACUCCUACGGGAGGCAGCAGUGGGGAAUAUUGGACAAUGGGCGAAAGCCUGAUCCAGCAAUGCCGCGUGAGUGAUGAAGGCCUUAGGGUUGUAAAGCUCUUUUACCCGGGAUGAUAAUGACAGUACCGGGAGAAUAAGCUCCGGCUAACUCCGUG
rnacentral:rRNA from 1 species